AGAUCAAGGUAUGAAGGGCGUACGGUGGAUGCCUUGGCACUAGGAGCCGAUGAAGGACGCGACGAACAGCGAUAUGCUUCGGGGAGCAGUAAGUAUGCUUUGAUCCGAAGAUUUCCGAAUGGGGGAACCC
rnacentral:rRNA from 1 species